rfam:Triticum aestivum genome assembly, contig: Triticum_aestivum_CS42_TGACv1_scaffold_438503_5DL
AAAGUACACCCUCCAUCCCAAAAUUCUUGUCUUGGAUUUGUCUAGAUACGGAUGUAUCAAGUCACAUUUUAGUAUUAGAUACAUUCGUAUCUAGACAAAUCUAAGACAAGAAAUUUGGGACAAAGGGAGUAGUUG